UACGUAGGGUGCAAGCGUUAAUCGGAAUUACUGGGCGUAAAGCGUGCGCAGGCGGUUUUGCAAGACAGAUGUGAAAUCCCCGGGCUUAACCUGGGAACUGCAUUUGUGACUGCAUAGCUGGAGUGCGGCAGAGGGGGAUGGAAUUCCGCGUGUAGCAGUGAAAUGCGUAGAUAUGCGGAGGAACACCGAUGGCGAAGGCAAUCCCCUGGGCCUGCACUGACGCUCAUGCACGAAAGCGUGGGGAGCAAACAGG
rnacentral:rRNA from 1 species